GGGAGUAUAGCUCAGUUGUAGAGCAUUCGAUUGCAGAUCGAUAAGUCCCGGUUCAAACCCGGAUGCUCCCU